rnacentral:sRNA from 1 species
UCCAGUCCGCGGGAAGAGAUUGUGUCGC